rnacentral:rRNA from 1 species
GACGAACGCUGGCGGCGUGCUUAACACAUGCAAGUCGAACGGAAAGGCCCUGCUUUUGUGGGGUGCUCGAGUGGCGAACGGGUGAGUAACACGUGAGUAACCUGCCCUUGACUUUGGGAAAACUUCAGGAAACUGGGGCUAAUACCGGAUAGGAGCUCCUGCUGCAUGGUGGGGGUUGGAAAGUUUCGGCGGUUGGGGAUGGACUCGCGGCUUAUCAGCUUGUUGGUGGGGUAGUGGCUUACCAAGGCUUUGACGGGUAGCCGGCCUGAGAGGGUGACCGGCCACAUUGGGACUGAGAUACGGCCCAGACUCCUACGGGAGGCAGCAGUGGGGAAUAUUGCACAAUGGGCGGAAGCCUGAUGCAGCAACGCCGCGUGCGGGAUGACGGCCUUCGGGUUGUAAACCGCUUUCGCCUGUGACGAAGCGUGAGUGACGGUAAUGGGUAAAGAAGCACCGGCUAACUACGU